rnacentral:rRNA from 32 species
CUUGGCGGCACUAGCGCGGUGGUCCCACCUGACCCCAUGCCGAACUCAGAAGUGAAACGCCGUAGCGCCGAUGGUAGUGUGGGGUCUCCCCAUGCGAGAGUAGGGAACUGCCAGGC